rnacentral:rRNA from 1 species
CAACUUUCAGCAAUGGAUCUCUUGGUUCUCGCAUCGAUGAAGAACGCAGCGAAUUGCGAUACGUAAUGUGAAUUGCAGAUUUUCAGUGAAUCAUCGAAUCUUUGAACGCACCUUGCGCCCCUUGGUAUUCCGAGGGGCAUGCCUGUUUGAGUGUCAU